rnacentral:rRNA from 1 species
UCGCUAGUAAUCGCGGAUCAGCACGCCGCGGUGAAUACGUUCCCGGGCCUUGUACACACCGCCCGUCACACCAUGGAAGUCUGCAAUGCCCGAAGCCGGUGGCCUAACCACUUAUGUGGAAGGAGCCGUCUAAGGCAGGGCAGAUGACUGGGGUGAAGUCGUAACAAGGUACC